CUCAGUUCGGAUUGAGCUGNAACCCGACUCCAUGAAGCUGGAUUCGCUAGUAAUCGCGCAUCAGCCACGGCGCGGUGAAUACGUUCCCGGGCCUUGUACACACCGCCCGUCAAGCCAUGGAAGCCGGGAGUGCCUGAAGUGCGUGACCGCAAGGAGCGUCCUGAGGCAAUACCGGUGACUGGGGCUAAGUCGUAACAAGGUACC
rnacentral:rRNA from 1 species